CUUAGUAACGGCGAGUGAAGCGGUAAAAGCUCAAAUUUGAAAUCUGGUACUUUCAGUGCCCGAGUUGUAAUUUGUAGAAUUUGUCUUUGAUUAGGUCCUUGUCUAUGUUCCUUGGAACAGGACGUCAUAGAGGGUGAGAAUCCCGUUUGGCGAGGAUACCUUUUCUCUGUAAGACUUUUUCGAAGAGUCGAGUUGUUUGGGAAUGCAGCUCAAAGUGGGUGGUAAAUUCCAUCUAAAGCUAAAUAUUGGCGAGAGACCGAUAGCGAACAAGUACAGUGAUGGAAAGAUGAAAAGAACUUUGAAAAGAGAGUGAAAAAGUACGUGAAAUUGUUGAAAGGGAAGGGCAUUUGAUCAGACAUGGUGUUUUUUGCAUGCACUCGCCUCUCGUGGGCUUGGGCCUCUCAAAAAUUUCACUGGGCCAACAUCAAUUCUGGCAGCAGGAUAAAUCAUUAAGAAUGUAGCUACUUCGGUAGUGUUAUAGCUUUUUGGAAUACUGUUAGCCGGGAUUGAGGACUGCGCUUCGGCAAGGAUGUUGGCAUAAUGGUUAAAUGCCGCCCGUCUUGAAACACGGACCACUC
rnacentral:rRNA from 1 species